AUUGAACGCUGGCGGCAGGCUUAACACAUGCAAGUCGAACGAGUGGCGGACGGGUGAGUAAUGUCUGGGAAACUGCCUGAUGGAGGGGGAUAACUACUGGAAACGGUAGCUAAUACCGCAUACCAUCGGAUGUGCCCAGAUGGGAUUAGCUAGUAGGUGGGGUAAAGGCUCACCUAGGCGACGAUCCCUAGCUGGUCUGAGAGGAUGACCAGCCACACGGGAACUGAGACACGGUCCAGACUCCUACGGGAGGCAGCAGUGGGGAAUAUUGCACAAUGGGCGCAAGCCUGAUGCAGCCAUGCCGCGUGUGUGAAGAAGGCCUUCGGGUUGUAAAGUACUUUCAGCGGGGAGGCGUUACUCGCAGAAGAAGCACCGGCUAACUCCGUGCCAGCAGCCGCGGUAAUAC
rnacentral:rRNA from 1 species